rnacentral:tRNA from 1 species
GGGCCUGUAGUAUAAUGGACAGAACGGACGGCUUCGGACCGUCAAAUCCGGGUUCGAAUCCUGGCAGGCUCA